GUGUCUUUCACCUUAGAGGAGGACAAUCUCCUCUUGUCGGUUUGGCUCAAUAUUAGCAUGGAUGCUAUACGGGGGACGGAUAAAAAAUAUUUUCAAAUGUGGGAGAGAAUUAGCAAUUAUUACAAUGAGCAUAAAAAUACUAGCAUGGCAAAUCGUUCUGGGGGGUCAUUGACCAAUUGAUGGUCGGUGAUCCAAAAAUGUACAAAUAAAUUUUGUGCUGCUGUGGCUCAAGUAGAAUCUUUGCAUCCAAGUGGUGCAACAGAGCAGGAUAAGAGAGACUGAGAAGGCCACAUACAACAUGGAACAUUGUUGGUGUCUAUUGAGACACCAACCAAAAUGGCAGCAACACGUGUCCAUGUUAUCAACUAGAAGGAAACCACAUGGGAAACGCUCUACUAUGGCGGAGUCGACUCCAAUAGGAGACGACACGAUAAAUGACAACGUGAAGGUCAUUUUUGAGAGGCCUCCAGGCAAGAAGACUGAGAAAGAAAGGAGAGAAAAAGGAAGGCUGUAGAAUCUUACGAUGCAGAAUUUGUUGAGGCCUUAACUUGCAUGAUAAAUGAUAGAGUUGUUUUCAUGUUUGAAAGAAGACAAGCGACUAGUAAAUUGGAUGCUGAUAGGGCUCAAUUACUAGUGGAGAAAAAAAGGAGAAAUGAUACGGAGAAUAGGAAGAUCGAUAUGGAGAUAAUGAAGAUGAAUCUUGCUUGCAUGAAUGGAAUGCAACGAAAGUAUUUCUUGAAUCUUCAAAAAGAGGUUUUUGAGAAAUCAAGGAAGUGAUUUUCAUCUCCAUCUCAAUCUUCAUCUUUUGAAGAUGUGUAGCCUUUUGUUGGUGGGGAGUUUUGGGGUUGUAGCCUAUGCUGUUUUGUGAUUUUUUGUUAUUUUGGAUCACAAAUAUGGGUGUGAUGUUCAUAGUUUUAUAUGUUGGUUACCACCCUAUUCAUUACUCUUAUUUUGCAUUAGUUGGUGAUGAUGUUUGUGAGAAUUGGCUUGGUUGCAUUGAAGAUCGAUGUAAUUAUUUUGAUAA